GAACGGACUUAACCUAUUCUUAACGAUUAGGAGCGGUUAGUGGCGGACUGGUGAGUAAUGUAUAAGUAACCUGCCUAUCAGAGGGGAACAACAGUUGGAAACGACUGCUAAUACCGCAUAUGCCACGAGAAUCACAUGGUUCAAGUGGGAAAGGAGCAAUCCGCUGAUAGAUGGACUUAUAUCUGAUUAGCUAGUUGGUGGGGUAACGGCCUACCAAGGCGACGAUCAGUAGCCGGACUGAGAGGUUAAACGGCCACAUUGGGACUGAGAUACGGCCCAGACUCCUACGGGAGGCAGCAGUCGGGAAUAUUGCGCAAUGGAGGAAACUCUGACGCAGUGACGCCGCGUGCAGGAAGAAGGUUUUCGGAUUGUAAACUGCUUUAGACAGGGAAGAAAAAAGACAGUACCUGUAGAAUAAGCUCCGGCUAACUACGUGCCAGCAGCCGCGGUAAUACGUAGGGAGCGAGCGUUAUCCGGAUUUAUUGGGUGUAAAGGGUGCGUAGACGGGAAAUUAAGUUAGUUGUGAAAUCCCACGGCUCAACUGUGGAACUGCAACUAAAACUGAUUUUCUUGAGUACUGGAGAGGAAAGUGGAAUUCCUAGUGUAGCGGUGAAAUGCGUAGAUCUUAGGAGGACACCAGUGGCGAAGGCGACUUUCUGGA
rnacentral:rRNA from 1 species